CCUACGGGAGGCAGCAGUGAGGAAUAUUGGGCAAUGGACGAAAGUCUGACCCAGCAACGCCGCGUGGAGGAUGAAUGCCGUAAGGUUGUAAACUCCUUUUGAGAGGGACGAAAACCCAUAUUUCGUAAGGGAUAUGGUUUGACUGUACCUCUAGAAGAAGCCCCGGCUAACUACGUGCCAGCAGCCGCGGUAAUACGUAGGGGGCAAGCGUUGUCCGGAUUUACUGGGUGUAAAGGGCGCGUAGGCGGAUUUGUAAGUCAGAGGUGAAAGCCCGCAGCUUAACUGCGGAACUGCCUUUGAUACUGCUUAUCUUGAGUUCGGAAGAGAGAAGCGGAAUUCCAGGUGUAGUAGUGAAAUACGUAGAUAUCUGGAAGAACACCAGUGGCGAAGGCGGCUUCUUGGUCCGUAACUGACGCUGAGGCGCGAAAGCGUGGGGAGCAAACAGGAUUAGAUACCCCGGUAGUCC
rnacentral:rRNA from 1 species